rnacentral:rRNA from 1 species
CGCGUAAAGAACUUGCCUCACAGCUAGGGACAACAUUUGGAAACGAAUGCUAAUACCUAAUAUUAUGAUAAUAGAGCAUCCUAUAAUUAUGAAAGCUAUAAGCGCUGUGAGAGAGCUUUGCGUCCCAUUAGCUAGUUGGAGAGGUAACGGCUCACCAAGGCGAUGAUGGGUAGCCGGCCUGAGAGGGUGAUCGGCCACAAGGGGACUGAGACACGGCCCUU